rnacentral:rRNA from 1 species
UAUGAGUAUCUCAGUGAUGAGGCGAAGCCCGACCUCCACCCUUUGUGAACCAACCCUGUUGCUUCGGGGGCGACCCCGCCGUUUCGGCGACGGCGCCCCCGGAGGUCAUCAAACACUGCAUCUUUGCGUCGGAGUCUUAAAGUAAAUUUAAACAAAACUUUCAACAACGGAUCUCUUGGUUCUGGCAUCGAUGAAGAACGCAG